CUGUUUGGACUCUUCCUCUCUGCAUCUCCUCUCAUCCCCUGGCAUCGCCGCCGCGCGUCUUUUCUUUUCUGGAAACUCUCGAGCCUCCACAGCCCGAAGGGCACCCUGUCUGCCCGCCCCGUUUCCGUUCUGUACACACACCUAUUGCUGAGCGCUAGUCUUUCUUCUCCCGGAAUUCCAUUUCCCCGAUCCAGUUGUUCCUCUCCGUUUCUUACGUCACAAUCUCAGGGUUUUCCUUUUCCCUGACGGCACUUUUCCCUCAACGCGCCAUUGGUUAUGACCCUGAGCCAAUGGUAGGAGAUACGCCCCUCCCCCUCCCCUCCAACUGACUGUGCCGGUCAGGUCCGGCUCGGCACAUACAGAUUCCCCAGUCCCUGGGGAUUGGGCGUCAGUUCAAAAGUGGGCGUGGAAAGAGAUUGGGGGGGGGCAGGGAAACUCUCAAAGCACCAGGUGGCUCUGGGCUGGUCCCGUGAAUCCGCGAGGAGGAGCUGGGCGGAUUUAAAAGGACGCGAAACGGCGAGAUGUCCCUUCCUUGCAACUGCAGCUCCACCGCGAAAACAAGCGGGCACAAGCUCCCCGACGGCGGGCUUCCCACCCCAGAACACGCUCAAGCAGCUUCCGACCUCUCCGCCUCCGCUUGGAUAUCCCCUGCAGGAAGCAGCAAAUGCUCCGCGUUUAUGAUCUGCUGUUCCGCCAAUCGGGGGAAGCGUACGCCACCUAAUGCAAGUGCAAAAGCCUCGGUCCUCUCCCAGCUCUUUGAUGAUCCACACAGAAAACCUCAUCAGAAGCCCGUUCAGGAAAUGGAGACCCCCUUCCUCCAUCAAUAACACAGGCAAGGACAGGGAGUCGCCCCCGCAAAGCAGCCGUCGGUCCCCUAAAUAGUUCACCCACAGGAAGUGAGAAAACCCUUCAUGUUGGCCGUCAGCGUUUCCCACAGGAAACUCGAGGCCUCUCUCAAAAGAGCUCGGCGUUAGCUGCUCGCCGGGCUGUUAACCAUUUUGCUUGCUUGCGCCAUUCUCCCGCAGCCUAUUUCAUUCGUAAGCGGGAACCAAAGAAUUAUUGAAGCUAUGCGAAAAAGGAAUUUACAGUGAGUUCUGCCUUGCCUUCAGGUGGCCAGCGACGGUGAAAAGGGUCGUUUCUGCUCCGUUUUUCAAGGAAGGAAAGGAGUUGAGCUGGAAGUGUUUGAAGUAUUAUAAUCUACAAAAACAAAAAAACAAAGUGGCAUUAACUCGGUACAGAGCUUUAGUUUACACCGCUCUUUUCCCUCUUUCAAAUUCAAUUGAAUUUAUUUUUGGAGGAGCACUGCUCCCCUAAAGUAAACUAUUACACUAAUACAAGACCGUAGUUCACCAUUAGUAUCCUCGAGUACUCGAGUUUUCUUGGUUUAAAUGAGGUUUGUUUCAUGUAUAAAAUGGACUAAAUUCCCAGAACAAGGGGAAAUGUUUUUGUAGGGCUACACUAUGUAGACUGCAAACAUUCCCAAGACUGCCAGACACAGCAAAGAGCUUUUUUUUUUAUCCCUCGGUUUCCAUCUAGUGGAAAUGGCCAUUCUGAUUUUUGCCACACCUACAAUAAUUUGAUAUAGGAUAUUGUAUCUAAUUUGGCAGCAUUUCAUAGUAAAACAUUUACAGACUACACAACAAACCAUACAAUAUGGUGCAAUUCUUUUUGUUUAAUGUACUAUGUAUAAAAAAACUAUGGUUUAUACAGCUGUCCACAUAAAUACUAUCUGGUUUACAUUGCCAAUUCAAUAUUUCUUCAAUUGUGAAAAAUCUGUGAUUUUCUAGAAUUUUCAGAAUCUCUCAUCCCUGAUACUGACAGCUGACAGAUGUCAUUUAGCAACAACAAAAAACUCAGUUUUCCCUCAAUUUAGAUGGUUGUAUGACAGAAUAUAGGACACUGACCAACUAUAUUUAAAGCUUAGUUGUCUGGAUUCCGAAUGUAUUAAUAUGUAAUUCAAUGUGCCAUGCAUAUCCAGAAUACUGAAGAAACCAUGAUUCAGUUAAACACAAGUUACAUGUUAUGUGAACAUAGCACAUUCACAAAAGGAAGUGGUGGACUUGUUUGAAAGAGGUUCUAGAUCAGUGGUUCUCAACCUGUGGGUCGGGACCCCAUUUGGGGUCAAACGACCAUUUCACGGGGGUCGCCAAACAAGACUGUCCGCCAUUUUUUCCCUUUUCUUUGGCCAUGCCCCUGGCACCCGGUGAUGUAUAAGUGGUUGAGGGUCAUCACAACAUGGGGAACUGUAUUAUGGGGUCGCGGCAUUAGAAAGGUUGAGAACCACUGUUCUAGAUGCUGCAGGCAUUGCAAGAAUAGUAACUUUACACCAGUGCUACGCAACCUUUUAGACACUAGGGAUUGGUUUAAUGGAUAACAAUUUUUACACUAUAAAUUUUUCCACUUGGACCUGUGGGGGGGGGAAACGGAGGAGCGCAUAACCUGGAUCUAGCACAUGUGUAGUUUUGCUUGUCCACUGCUCAUCUCCAGCUAUGUGGCUUGGUUCCUAACUGGCCAUGGAAUGGUCUUGGUUUGCCUGGAGUUGGGUACCCCUGUUUUACACCACUGAAAAAACUUUGAUUCAUGCAAUAAUUUAUUGAUUUCACACACUUGUGCUUUUUUCUGAAUGAAAAAAACACCUUGCAAUAUAAAAUUACCAAUACAGCAAGGAUGGGAAUAGAUUAGUAUGUACCAUUACUGUUCCAAUUCGUAUCUGAUCACUGACUUGAAAAUGGUGUAUCAUUUCUCAUGGCCUAUGGCCAGAGACCAGUGCUGCAAUCAUUACAGAAUAUGUGAACAUGAUCCAAAAUCUAAGUCCAGGAGGCCAAACUUUUGAGUCUGAUAGGCCCAUCUGAAAUUUCAAAAGCUGUAAAGAACAAACAUUCAAAACACAACAAAACACUUACUUCUAAAAAAGAAUAAUUCCUCAGAAUCUGAAAUUAGAAAUCAAAUCUGAGAUUGAUAACAAAAACCUAUUCCUUUAAUCCAUUUUCUGUUUUAACAGAAGCAAAUUUCAGAGAAAGAUGCAUAGGUGUAUCCCAACAAACCCAUUUCUUAAACCAUAAGCCUUUUACCCUCUUAAACAUUGAUGCACUCACCUUUUUUUUAAAAAAGGAACAGAGUGCUUAUUCUAUACCAGAGGUGUCAAACUCACGUCACGUGAUGUGUCCCAACCUAUCGUGACUUUUUUGCCGGCAAUGGGAUGGGCAGAGUUUUGCUAUGAUGCAUCCAGCCCACGGCCCUGCAGUUUGACACCCCUCUUCUAUACUAAUAAUAGUAUACCAAUAUGUUGUUACAUUCAUGGAAAUAUAACAUCAGUAAUUAUUGUAGGCUAUAACCUGAUAUGAAGUAUAACAUAAUGAAAAUGCUAAGUAUUAAUUGAACAAUUGGAGAAGAAUCCCAGAUAUUCCUGUCUCAAAAUUCUGUUCAUUCUGAUAGUCCAUGAAGUUUGUAAUUUAUCUGAUGACAGCUUCAGUGCAAGCCUUCCCUUCUUUGUGCAAAUAAGAGACAAAUGCCAGAUUCAGAAAACUAACAGAAAAAUGCAUUUCAAUUGUCGUUUUUAAGUAUUGAUUUUUAUCAGUCUAGGGUACUUAUGAAUAUUGAAUUGUGAAAGAAAAAUAUAGAUCUCAGACACCUAAAACAAUUUAUAUUGCUUUAUUUGCUACACUUAAAGUACACCCUAAUUAUAUUUCAGUUUCAUUGCCUCCUGGUGUAUUUUCUUGAGAAAAUCAUAGAUUAAAGUAGCAAGGUGGUUUAAUGGAAGAAAGAACCAACCAGUCCAUAAUUAAGAAAUACUUUUACAAUUCUUAUUUAUAUUUGUGUCAUGCAACUGAGGAAUAUAUGUGAAUGUAUAAUGUGAAAGUAUAAUGUGAAAGUUACAGAAAGAAAUUUAUGUUUUGUCUGCUAGGACAAAAUAUCUAUUUCCAGUGUUUAAAGGCUUUAAAAAUCUGCUUAAGGCCCAUCUUCAAUUAUUACAUUAAAAAAACUAAAAUGUAAUGGAACCUCUCAGCCUGACCUAAAUGAGAUUUUAUCUUUCAAAAUCCUCUUUAUCUGAAAUGUUUUUAGAAAUACAUAAUUGCUUAAUGGAACCACUUCCCCACCUAAUUAUUUUAUUUUCUAUGGACAAGUGUCAGCAAGGCAAUCUUAUUUAAAAAAAAAAAAAAAACCUCAGCUGCUAGAGCAUGGAGAAAAUAAACCUGACUCAGGCACUCCCACUAUAGUUUAAGUAGGAUAAUAUAGUGUUUCUUGCAUUUGCCAAGAGUCAGUUCCUUUUUAUCCACAAUAUUUUAACAGUUGUUUGUAAGAGGUCCAAAAAUAAUAAAAUCCAUCCCAAGAAUAGAAGCGAUAGAUCCAAUAUAUACUAUUUUUGUCAUGGUCUUGGCUUUGUUAAAGCAUUUUAGUAGUUUUUAUUAGCAACAAUUUGGUUUCUUUCAUGCAUAGCAAACCUUGUACUGUAGACAGUUCAUCAGCUGCUUGCAUAGUACAGUACCAUCAUGGAUUUAUUUGCAAACUAAACUUCAAUAUCACAAUAAAACAAACUACAUUAACAAGGCUGCAAGGAAAUUCUACACCUUAGUGAGAAAAAAACCUUUACCGUAAAGCAGGGCUGUCAAACUGCUGGCCUACAGGUCAGAUGCAUUACACUGAAGCCGCGCCCACCCCAUUGCUGGCAAUGCAAAGAGUCGUGAUAUGUCACAACAUGUCACAUAACGUGGUGAGUUUGAUAUCCGUGCCGUACAGGUAGUCCUCAACUGACAAUCACAAUUGAGUCCAAAAUUUAUGUUGCUCAGUGAGAAAAUUGAGUUUUGCCCCAUUUUCUGACUUUUCUUGCCACAUUUGUUAAGUGAAUCACUGCAGUUGUUAAAUUAGUAACAAAGUUGUUAGGUGAAUCUGGUUUCACCAUUGAUUUUGCUUGUCAGGUCACAAAAGGAGAUCACAUGGCUUUGGGACACUACAGCCAUUCUGUCAGUUGUCAAGCAUCCAAAUAUAAAUCACAUGAUCAUGUUACAAGUCAUAUGUGUGAAAAAUGGUCAUAAGUCACUUUUUUCAGUGCUAUUGUAACUUCAAACAGUAACUAAGUGAACUGUUGUAAGUCGAGGACCACCUGUAUUGUCUGAGUAAAAGAUCAAUAAUUUCCAUUCUAAAUGAAAACAUACUUCCAUAAAUGUAAUUUAGCUUUCUUAUUUGGCAAUUUUUGAACUAUUUGGAGUGCCUCAUUUAAAAAAAAAUACAAAAAACCCCCCAAGUAACUGAUAAAGUUUAAACUUAAAAGCAUGUUCUACUACGGUAUAUAAAUAUGUCAGGCACCAUCCUUAAAGGGUACUCCCACAGUAUUUACAAUAAAUGGAAAAAAGCACUGUGAAGACAAUUUUUUUCAACAUUUUAUCCAGUUUUCCUAGUGAUCAUCCAGAUCUCUGCACCAAUUUCUAUAGAGAUUUAAACUUUUCUAGAAAAGUUCCAUAAAAUGUAGCAAUUGCUAAGUAUAUAUUAAAAUACCUUAUUCUAUGAAUGACCAACAGUAAGCAGAUAGGGUACUUCCAAUGCCUUAUCAAAGUUUCUCUUUAAUGCAAAGGUAUUGUCAACACCUGUAACACUAUGGCUGCUAAAGCAUCAUUUCCAAUAUAAUUCUGUAUUGUUUUUGAAAUGGGAUAGGAAGGGGAGAAAAAAGGGAAAAACAAUGUUUGCUUGUAACAAAGGCAGAAUGAGACUGACAGAGAUGAAGCAGAAUAUAAAUUUUGAACAUAUAAACAAUACUUCAUGUUUUAAGUAGCUUCCAAACAUUAUGGUAUAAGUAACAUGUAUUGAUCAUUUCUCACUUUUGUGAGACACUGCAUUAAGCAGUUAGAUCUGUUACAUUUGGAAUUUGUACCAUACAAACCCAGUGAUUAGAAACAAGUAAUACACACAUAUAAUAGAAAAUUCAUAAAUUUCUAUUUCAAAUAUAUAUGUGUACUAUAUAUAUUAGAGAGAGAGAGAGAGAGAGAGAGAGAGAGAGAGAGAGAGCAUAUUAGGUGUGGUGUACAAUACUAAAAUGCCAUAUCCAAUGAAAACAUCACAAGACAAUGUUGCUAGUAGGGCUCAGAAACUAUUAGCGUAAGCAGCAGGAAAAAUCCAUAUACUGUUGCUUAAAAUGUUUGAUGAAAAGAACAGGAUUUAAAAGGUACAAAUUCUCUAUUUCAAAUUAUUCAUCUUCAGAACUGCUCAAUUUUUGCAAGGGAACACUGUACCUUAAGAGGGAAGAAAAACAUCAGUUACAGAAAAGUAUUUCAGUAUGGAACAGCUGAUUCAUCACAUACACAUAAAAAACCCUCAAUUUUCAUGGCCAACAAACUCAGAUCUUUUAAAGUAUGAGUUUGUUAUUACAUUUAUAGAAAAUGUACACUGAAUAGUACAAUUGAGAUCAUGACAGAAGACAGCAUCAGAGAAAAAACAUCACUUACUAGUAUUCUUAUCAUGAACAGUAGCCUGAAAUCAUGCAUGCAUAUUCAACCUAUAAAAUCCUUGUUAUUUGCAUGCUGAUUUUAGGUCUUGGGUCAAUUCCACAUAUACUGGUGAAUUCCCCGUUGUCCCUAACCCAGCAUGGCAGAUGAAGGGGAUUUGCAGUUGAACUAAAUGUGUAUGUGUCACAUAUUUCUAUCAUUGACAUACUCAGCCCUUUAUAGACCAAUGUUAAGCAGAACAAAGCAGUCCCUAAUGAAUAAAAGUAGGUAAUCAUAUCCCCAAGAAAUCGGUUUCAUGAUUGUCAUGAAGCUAAAAGGCUUUUCUGGGCACCUUAGAAUAGGUGGGCAUCCUGUGGACAGCACAAAGCCAAUUCAAUAUUUUUAUUGCAGCUUCUAAAAUCCCUCAGAUCAUAUCACUGAAAAUUGGUGCCAAGGUGCUGCACUUUCCAUUACUAGUUAAAGGAAAUAUCAAAAUCCAAGAAAAAGAGGUAAAUUAAGGCUUGUGUAGAAAAGCUUUUUAGAAAAACUCACCCAAUUAGCACACACACACAUACACAAACAUUCACCUUCACAAAGCCUGGACUCUGGCCCAUCCAGUAGCACUGUUACUGUCCUAAUUCCUAUACUUGUGACUAUCAAAAAUGUGCAACUUUUGGACACAAAUACUAUUUGCUAUAUCUUUGUUUUAGAAGUGAUAUGAUAAAAAUGUAAUAAUUACAUAUAUUGUUCAGUGACUGAAUGUCUAUCAAGAAGUUCUAACAUUAAAUUAGGUUAAAAUUAAGAAAUUAAAUUAUUUCCACUUCCUUUUGAAUAUAUCCAUAUCAUAUUUUCUCUCUAAAUUGGAAAUGUUAGUUGGGUGAUUUUUAAAAAAGUAAUUAGCAAUACUGUUGAUUCAAGAAUUUUCACUUAAAGUCCUAUCCAUCUUCCCUUGUUUAAUAUAUGAUUACCAAGAACUUAUUGUGCACAGAGGAAAAUAAAUGAAAACUAUGGAGAAAAUGAAAAUAAAAUCACCAUGGGGAGUGCAGCACUAAAGCAUUUUCAAUUUUGUCUUCAAUCAAGUAUUUGCAAUCUGGCAAUUUUAUUGUCACACCUCCUUCACAAUAGACAAGAUGUUUACCAUAUUAAGAUUACACGUUGC